GACGAACCGUGCAAACGUUGUUCGGAAUCACUGGGCUUAAAGGGCGCGUAGGCGGGUGGUCAAGUCAGGGGUGAAAUCUUUCGGCUCAACCGGAAAAUAGCCUCUGAUACUGACCGUCUUGAGCGAGGUAGGGGCAUGUGGAACUUCCGGUGGAGCGGUGAAAUGCGUUGAUAUCGGAAGGAACGCCGGUGGCGAAAGCGACGUGCUGGACCUCUUCUGACGCUGAGGCGCGAAAGCUAGGGGAG
rnacentral:rRNA from 1 species